rnacentral:misc_RNA from 1 species
GAUGGAGAACGUAGCGAAAUGCGAUAAGUAAUGUGAAUUGCAGAAUUCAGUGAAUCAUCGAAUCUUUGAACGCACAUUGCGCCCGCCAGCACUCUGGCGGGCAUGCCUGUUCGAGCGUCAUUUCAACCAUCAAGCCCCCAGGGGCUUGUGCUGGGGCCCUGCGGCUGCCCGCAGGCCCUGAAAACCAGUGGCGGGCUCGCUAGUCACACCGAGCGCAGUAGCACAUCUCGCUCAGGGCGUGCGGCGGGCUCCUGCCGUGAAACCCCCCACUGUAACCCCAAAGGUUGACCUCGGAUCAGGUAGGAAUACCCGCUGAACUUAAGCAUAUCAAUAAGCGGAGGA